rnacentral:rRNA from 1 species
UGAACGCUGGCGGCAUGCCUUACACAUGCAAGUCGAACGGCAGCAUGAUCUAGCUUGCUAGAUUGAUGGCGAGUGGCGAACGGGUGAGUAAUACAUCGGAACGUGCCCUGUAGUGGGGGAUAACUAGUCGAAAGAUUAGCUAAUACCGCAUACGACCUGAGGGUGAAAGUGGGGGACCGCAAGGCCUCAUGCUAUAGGAGCGGCCGAUGUCUGAUUAGCUAGUUGGUGAGGUAAAGGCUCACCAAGGCGACGAUCAGUAGCUGGUCUGAGAGGACGAUCAGCCACACUGGGACUGAGACACGGCCCAGACUCCUACGGGAGGCAGCAGUGGGGAAUUUUGGACAAUGGGGGCAACCCUGAUCCAGCAAUGCCGCGUGUGUGAAGAAGGCCUUCGGGUUGUAAAGCACUUUUGUCCGGAAAGAAAUCGCACUUACUAAUAUUAGGUGUGGAUGACGGUACCGGAAGAAUAAGGACCGGCUAACUACGUGCCAGCAGCCGCGGUAAUACGUAGGGUCCAAGCGUUAAUCGGAAUUACUGGGCGUAAAGCGUGCGCAGGCGGUUGUGCAAGACCGAUGUGAAAUCCCCGGGCUUAACCUGGGAAUUGCAUUGGUGACUGCACGGCUAGAGUGUGUCAGAGGGGGGGUAGAAUUCCACGUGUAGCAGUGAAAUGCGUAGAGAUGUGGAGGAAUACCGAUGGCGAAGGCAGCCCCCUGGGAUAACACUGACGCUCAUGCACGAAAGCGUGGGGAGCAAACAGGAUUAGAUACCCUGGUAGUCCACGCCCUAAACGAUGUCAACUAGUUGUUGGGGAUUCAUUUCCUUAGUAACGUAGCUAACGCGUGAAGUUGACCGCCUGGGGAGUACGGUCGCAAGAUUAAAACUCAAAGGAAUUGACGGGGACCCGCACAAGCGGUGGAUGAUGUGGAUUAAUUCGAUGCAACGCGAAAAACCUUACCUACCCUUGACAUGCCACUAACGAAGCAGAGAUGCAUUAGGUGCUCGAAAGAGAAAGUGGACACAGGUGCUGCAUGGCUGUCGUCAGCUCGUGUCGUGAGAUGUUGGGUUAAGUCCCGCAACGAGCGCAACCCUUGUCUCUAGUUGCUACGAAAGGGCACUCUAGAGAGACUGCCGGUGACAAACCGGAGGAAGGUGGGGAUGACGUCAAGUCCUCAUGGCCCUUAUGGGUAGGGCUUCACACGUCAUACAAUGGUGCAUACAGAGGGUUGCCAAGCCGCGAGGUGGAGCUAAUCCCAGAAAAUGCAUCGUAGUCCGGAUCGUAGUCUGCAACUCGACUACGUGAAGCUGGAAUCGCUAGUAAUCGCGGAUCAGCAUGCCGCGAUGAAUACGUUCCCGGGUCUUGUACUCACCGCC